AACUCUGAGACAGGUGCUGCAUGGCUGUCGUCAGCUCGUGUUGUGAAAUGUUGGGUUAAGUCCCGCAACGAGCGCAACCCUUAUCCUUGUUUGCCAGCGAGUAAUGUCGGGAACUCCAGGGAGACUGCCGGUGAUAAACCGGAGGAAGGUGGGGACGACGUCAAGUCAUCAUGGCCCUUACGAGUAGGGCUACACACGUGCUACAAUGGCGCAUACAGAGGGCUGCCAACUUGCGAAAGUGAGCGAAUCCCAAAAAGUGCGUCGUAGUCCGGAUUGGAGUCUGCAACUCGACUCCAUGAAGUCGGAAUCGCUAGUAAUCGUGGAUCAGAAUGCCACGGUGAAUCACGUUCCCGGGCCUUGUACCAC
rnacentral:rRNA from 1 species